AAAUUUUGGCUAAAGCCGCAUACGAAGCACAAAUCUUAGAGUAGUGCUUGAAAGAAUGCCUCUGUAUAUGCAGUCACUAAACGAUGGGCCUGCGGUACAUUAGCUAGUUGGUGGGGUAAUGGCCUACCAAGGCAACGAUGUAUAUCCGGUCUGAGAGGAUGAUCGGACACACUGGAACUGAGACACGGUCCAGACUCCUACGGGAGGCAGCAGUGGGGAAUAUUGCGCAAUGGGGGAAACCCUGACGCAGCAACGCCGCGUGAGUGAGGAAGGACUUCGGUCUGUAAAGCUCUGUUAAUGUGGAAAAAUGGUUAGUGGUCUAAUAGGCCAUUGAUUUGAUGGUACACAUAGAGGAAGCACCGGCUAACUUCGUGCCAGCAGCCGCGGUAAUACGAAGGGUGCAAGCGUUGUUCGGAUUUAUUGGGCGUAAAGCGCGCGUAGGCGGACCUGCAAGUCAGAUGUGAAAUCUCGGGGCUCAACCCCGAAACUGCGUCUGAAACUACAGGUCUAGAAUCUUGGAGGGGGAAGGGGAAUUUCACAUGUAGGGGUAAAAUCCGUAGAUAUGUGAAGGAACACCAGAGGCGAAGGCGCCUUCCUGGACAAGUAUUGACGCUGAGGCGCGAAAGCGUGGGGAUCAAACAGGAUUAGAUACCCUGGUAGUCCACGCUGUAAACGAUGAACACUAGAUAUUGCAGGAUUUGACCCCUGCAGUGUCGUAGCUAACGCGUUAAGUGUUCCGCCUGGGAAGUACGGUCGCAAGACUAAAACUCAAAGGAAUUGACGGGACUAUCGUGACUGGGAAAAUGAGCAUAUCGUGACUGGGAAAC
rnacentral:rRNA from 1 species